GCCUGCACGAAGUCGGAAUUGCUAGUAAUCGUAGGUCAGCAUACUACGGUGAAUACGUUCCCGGGCCUUGUACACACCGCCCGUCACACCAUGAGAGUUGGGAAUACCCGAAGCCUGUGAGCCAACAAACGAGGCAGCAGUCGAAGGUAGAAUCAAUGAUUGGGGUGAAGUCGUAACAAGGUAAC
rnacentral:rRNA from 1 species